UCUUAUGAUGAAAACUGUGUCCAGUUCUGCUACUGAAGGGAAAUAGAUGAAAGCCUUAAGUGCUGAGGAA